AGUGAACGCUGGCGGUAGGCCUAACACAUGCAAGUCGAACGGCAGCACAGUAAGAGCUUGCUCUUACGGGUGGCGAGUGGCGGACGGGUGAGGAAUACAUCGGAAUCUACUUUUUCGUGGGGGAUAACGUAGGGAAACUUACGCUAAUACCGCAUACGACCUACGGGUGAAAGCAGGGGAUCUUCGGACCUUGCGCGACUGAAUGAGCCGAUGUCGGAUUAGCUAGUUGGCGGGGUAAAGGCCCACCAAGGCGACGAUCCGUAGCUGGUCUGAGAGGAUGAUCAGCCACACUGGAACUGAGACACGGUCCAGACUCCUACGGGAGGCAGCAGUGGGGAAUAUUGGACAAUGGGCGCAAGCCUGAUCCAGCCAUACCGCGUGGGUGAAGAAGGCCUUCGGGUUGUAAAGCCCUUUUGUUGGGAAAGAAAAGCAGCGGGUUAAUACCCCGCUGUUCUGACGGUACCCAAAGAGUAAGCACCGGCUAACUUCGUG
rnacentral:rRNA from 1 species